AUACGUAGGGGGCGAGCGUUGUCCGGAAUUACUGGGUGUAAAGGGCGUGUAGGCGGGGAUGCAAGUUACCUGUAAAAACCCAGGGCUCAACUCUGGGCUUGCUGGUAAAACUGCAUUUCUUGAGUGUAGGAGAGGGAAGUGGAAUUCCCGGAGUAGCGGUGAAAUGCGUAGAUACCGGGAGGAACACCAGUGGCGAAGGCGGCUUCCUGGCCUACAACUGACGCUGAGGCGCGAAAGCUAGGGGAGCGAACGGGAUUAGAUACCCCGGUAGUCCUAGCCGUAAACGAUGGUCACUAGGUGUGGGUGGUGGUCAAGCCAUCCGUGCCGGAGCUAACGCAAUAAGUGACCCACCUGGGGAGUACGGCCGCAAGGUUGAA
rnacentral:rRNA from 1 species